GAUCAAAUCAAGCGCGAGAAGGGCGUUUGGUGGAUGCCUUGGCAGCAAGAGGCGAUGAAGGACGUGAUAACCUGCGAUAAGCCAGGGGGAGCCGGUAAUAGGCUUUGAUCCCUGGAUCUCCGAAUGGGGCAACCCACCUGACAGCUGAUUAUAAUUGCCCUCGGGCAGUUUAUAGUCGGUUGAACCAGGUACUUUGAACCUGAACACAUAGGGUACAAAGAGCAAACCCGGGGAACUGAAACAUCUAAGUACCCGGAGGAAAGGAAAUCAACAGAUACUCCCCUAGUAGUGGCGAGCGAACGGGGACCAGCCGAGCCGUGAAUGUGACCAGAACCGUCUGGAAAGUCGGGCCAUAGCGGGUGACAGCCCCGUAUGGGAAGCAUGAUCGGACGUAUCAAGUAGGGCGGGACACGUGAAAUCCUGUCUGAAGAUCGGGGGACCACCCUCGAAGGCUAAGUACUCCUUGCUGACCGAUAGCGAACCAGUACCGUGAGGGAAAGGUGAAAAGCACCCCGACGAGGGGAGUGAAACAGUACCUGAAACCGAGCGCCUACAAGCAGUCGGAGGGACCUCGAGUCCUGACGGCGUACCUUUUGUAUAAUGGGUCAUCGACUUGGUCUCACGAGCAAGCUUAAGCCGAUAGGUGUAGGCGCAGCGAAAGCGAGUCUUAAAUGGGCGUCGAGUUCGUGGGAUCAGACCCGAAACCGAGUGAUCUAGGCAUGACCAGGAUGAAGACAGGGUAACACCUGUUGGAGGUCCGAACCCACACCUGUUGAAAAAGGUCGGGAUGAGUUGUGCCUAGGGGUGAAAGGCCAAUCAAACUCGGAGAUAGCUGGUUCUCCGCGAAAUCUAUUUAGGUAGAGCGUCAUCCGAAUACCCCGGGGGGUAGAGCACUGGAUGGGUAAUGGGGCCCCACAGGCUUACUGAUCCUAACCAAACUCCGAAUACCCGGGAGUACUAGAUGGCAGACACACGGCGGGUGCUAACGUCCGUCGUGGAGAGGGAAACAACCCUGACCUACAGCUAAGGCCCCCAAUUCGUGGCUAAGUGGGAAAGCAGGUGGGACGUCCAAAACAACCAGGAGGUUGGCUUAGAAGCAGCCAUCCUUUAAAGAUAGCGUAACAGCUCACUGGUCUAAUCAAGAUGUCCUGCGGCGAAGAUGUAACGGGGCUCAAGCCACGAGCCGAAGCUUAGGACUGCGCAAGCAGUGGUAGCGGAGCGUAGUGUGACAAAACCCAUGUCUCUUCUGCUCGCUCGAUGCGAGGUCGAUGCGCUCAAGUAGCGUAGCGAUAGCGCAUGAAAGGCGAGCGUCGGAGACGCGGGUUUGACUGUGAAGCCGGGGCGUGAGCCAUCCGGUGGAGUGAUCACUAGCGAGAAUGAUGACAUGAGUAGCGACAAGGAGGGUGAGAGACCCUCCCGCCGAAAGUCCAAGGGUUCCUGCUUAAAGCUAAUCUGAGCAGGGUAAGCCGGCCCCUAAGGUGAGGCCGAAAGGCGUAGCCGAUGGGAAUCAGGUUAAUAUUCCUGAGCCAGGAGGAUGUGACGGAUCGUGAAGGUUGUUCGCCCUUAUCGGAUUGGGCGGGCCGCCGAUCGGUUCCUGGAAAUAGCCCUCCAUCAGACCGUACCCUAAACCGACACAGGUGGACUGGUAGAGCAUACCAAGGCGCUUGAGAGAACGAUGUUGAAGGAACUCGGCAAAAUACCUCCGUAAGUUCGCGAGAAGGAGGCCCGGUUCGUGGGCAACCAUGGGCCGGGGGCACAAACCAGGGGGUGGCGACUGUUUACUAAAAACACAGGGCUCUGCGAAGUCGCAAGACGACGUAUAGGGUCUGACGCCUGCCCGGUGCCGGAAGGUUAAAAGGAGGGGUGCAAGCUCCGAAUUGAAGCCCCGGUAAACGGCGGCCGUAACUAUAACGGUCCUAAGGUAGCGAAAUUCCUUGUCGGGUAAGUUCCGACCUGCACGAAUGGCGUAACGACUUCCCCGCUGUCUCCAACAUCGACUCAGCGAAAUUGAAUUGCCUGUCAAGAUGCAGGCUUCCCGCGGUUAGACGGAAAGACCCCGUGCACCUUCACUACAGCUUCGCACUGGCAUCAGGCACAACAUGUGCAGGAUAGGUGGUAGGCUUCGAAGCAGGGACGCCAGUUCCUGUGGAGCCAUCCUUGAGAUACCACCCUUGUUCUGCUUGAUGUCUAACCGCGGUCCGUCAUCCGGAUCCGGGACCCUGCGUGGCGGGUAGUUUGACUGGGGCGGUCGCCUCCCAAACAGUAACGGAGGCGCGCGAAGGUUGGCUCAGAGCGGUCGGAAAUCGCUCGUUGAGUGCAAUGGCAGAAGCCAGCCUGACUGCGAGACUGACAAGUCGAGCAGAGACGAAAGUCGGCCAUAGUGAUCCGGUGGUCCCGAGUGGAAGGGCCAUCGCUCAACGGAUAAAAGGUACGCCGGGGAUAACAGGCUGAUACUGCCCAAGAGUCCAUAUCGACGGCAGUGUUUGGCACCUCGAUGUCGGCUCAUCUCAUCCUGGGGCUGGAGCAGGUCCCAAGGGUAUGGCUGUUCGCCAUUUAAAGAGGUACGUGAGCUGGGUUUAGAACGUCGUGAGACAGUUCGGUCCCUAUCUGCCGUGGGUGUAGGAUACUUGAGAGGAGUUGCCCCUAGUACGAGAGGACCGGGGUGAACGAUCCACUGGUGGACCUGUUGUGGCGCCAGCCGCAGUGCAGGGUAGCUAUGAUCGGACAGGAUAACCGCUGAAGGCAUCUAAGCGGGAAGCCCCCCUCAAAACAAGGUAUCCCCGAGGGCCGUGGAAGACCACCACGUCGAUAGGCCGGAGAUGUAAGCGCAGCAAUGCGUUCAGUUGACCGGUACUAAUUGCCCGAUAGGCUUGAUUUGAUCCAG
rnacentral:rRNA from 1 species